ACUCAGACACAUAACAGGGGCUAUAAAGCUGAAGCAUCCCUUUAGAACGUUUUCUCACCACAAAAUAUGGUAGUGAGAGGAAGUCAAGUCGCGGGUAGUGAGAGGAUGGAACUAGAUGAAACUGGGUUUACAUUCUGCUAAUUUCUCAUCGAUGAAACAUCUGAUCACAUUUUAUGUUCCCAAAACUAUUUUACCCCUAUAUUGUUUUAUGUCCUCCGGAUUCAAGAAGAAAGAUGACGAGUCCAACGGUGAUCCAUUGAUUUCUUCACCCUAAUCUUGGCCAUCCCCACAAGGUGUAUAUUGUUCCAAACACCUGACAGAGGUGUGCUGCCAAGCUGACCAAGGAGAAGAAAGCCUUCCAAGAGUCCCACAAGCAGACACUGGAUGACUGGCAAGGAGAGAAGGACAAAGUCAACAUUCUGACCAAGGCCACAGCAAGAUUGAGGAUGAGCAGUCUCUGGGAGCUCCAGAAAGAGAUCUCGGAACUCCAGGCCCAUAUUGAGGAGCUAGAGGAGGAAAUUGAGGCUGAGCGUGAUGCCAGGGCUAAGGUUCAGAAGCAGAUGGUCGAUCUCUCCAGGGAACAUGAAGAGAUCAGUGAGAGGCUGGAGUUGCCGUUUUAAAUUGAGAGAACCAAAACAAGUGUUCACUACAUUAUUCCAUGUGUGUUAUUUCAUAGUUUUGAUGUCCUCACUAUUAUUCUACAAUGUAGAAAAUAGUAAAAAUAAAAACCUUUGAAUGAGGUGUUCUAAAACUUUUGACCAGUAGUGUAGUUACCCUUACUUCUGUCCCUUGUUUCUCAUCCAGGGUUGAAAAUCAUAGGUGGCUACAGAGAUCAAACACAGGAGGAGUUUGGGAUCUUCAUCAAGCGGGUGUAAAAAAUAAAUAAAAAAACUCUUGAAUGAGUAGGU